CUUCGGGACAGUGGCGAACGGCUGAGUAACGCGUGGGUGACCUACCCUCGAGUGGGGGAUAACCCUCCGAAAGGAGGGCUAAUACCGCGUACGUUCACCUGAUCUCGGUUAGGUGAGGAAAGCAGUAAUGCGCUCGAGGAUGGGCCUGCGUCCGAUUAGCUAGUUGGUGAGGUAAUGGCCCACCAAGGCUUCGAUCGGUAGCUGGUCUGAGAGGAUGAUCAGCCAGACUGGGACUGUGACACGGCCCAGACUCCUACGGGAGGCAGCAGUUAGGAAUUUUGGGCAAUGGGCGAAAGCCUGACCCAGCAACGCCGCGUGGGUGACGAAGGCCUUCGGG
rnacentral:rRNA from 1 species